UACAGAGGUCUCAAGCGUUGUUCGGAUUCAUUGGGCGUAAAGGGUGCGUAGGUGGCGCGGUAAGUCGGGUGUGAAAUUUCGGAGCUUAACUCCGAAACUGCAUUCGAUACUGCCGUGCUUGAGGACUGGAGAGGAGACUGGAAUUUACGGUGUAGCAGUGAAAUGCGUAGAGAUCGUAAGGAAGACCAGUGGCGAAGGCGGCUCACUGGCCCGGUACUGACGCUGAGGUGCGAAAGCGUGGGGAGCAAACAGG
rnacentral:rRNA from 1 species